rfam:Nicotiana attenuata strain TT chromosome 7, whole genome shotgun sequence.
ACGACCUUACUUGAACAGGAUCUGUUCUAUAGGCUCGUACCACUGUAUACUUGAGUUCUAAGGAGACAGGAAACCAGGAUCUGUUCUAUAGGCCAUUGGAUCAGAGUGUGAUUUGCAGUGUUUCUAUGGCUGCUGAUCU